GUUUGUCUACUGGUCCACAUUUCAACCCUGAUGGUAAAACACACGGUGCCCCAGAGGAUGCUAAUCGACAUGUUGGCGACCUAGGAAACAUCACUGUUGGAGACGAUGGAACUGCCACCUUCACCAUCACUGACUACACAUU